GGCCAUUUUCAAUAAGCAGAUCAAUUCAGUUAAGUUGCCUAAACUGCUUGUACCUUUUCCACGUGCCUAAUUGAAACUGCUGUUUGUCAGUGGUAUCAGGGUGUCAACACUCAAGAAAGGAACUGUUCCUUUUGUUCUUGGUGCAAGUACAGUGUGAGCUCUCUCAUCCAGCUGCCCAGGAUGGCUGGGAUGAAGAGGGAAUAGUUUCCAUCCUUCAUCUAUAGAAAGAGCAACGAAGAAUGGCUGAUCUUCAACUCAGCAGUACUAGAACUAAUGGAAGAGUUGCUGCUGAAUCACAUGGGCUGUUAUGAAAAUUCUUCUAUCACAGUUAACAAAGCAUUUCCUCCUCGCUUUGACUGUGUGUUGGAAAUUCCUGACCCACUGCUCCCUAGAGGAGGCAACGUUACAUUUAUCUCCCUGUAAUCAUGUACCUUUUUAUGAACCAAGCAAUUUAACAGAUACAUUUGUUAAAAGUAUGUAAAGUUAUACGUCUGGCAGUCCACCUAGAGUACCUUAUUCAACCGUUAAAGACCAGCUUCUGUGUGCUUGAAUCAUCAUUAAUAACAUAGUCAAGAUCAGAGAAGCCAAACAAGUAUGUGCUGAAGUAUCUUGCUGAUACUGCAAAUUCCACUAGUCAAGACGUCUUUGGCUUCCUCACCUAGGAACGUGUCGGCGGAGGACAGAAGAGUGGUGUUAACAGUGAACUGACCCUGAAGCACCAGCUGCUGCUUGUCACUGCCAGUCACACUGCACAUCAUGGUCAGAGGCCCCAGCACUGGGAAGGGAAUGGCUCUCCAUUGCCAUCAUUCGUCCAGUGGGUAAUUGAGACAGAUUUCUGCAUUGUUCCUCGAGGUCAAAAUGUGCAGAACAGAUAGAUGUGUUGUUCUGGCACAGCAAAAUCCUAUACAUAGCAGACUUCUUUAAACCAGAGCCUAUACCCUACAUUUUUUUCUCCUUCCAUUAAUUUUAAAACAGAUAAACUCGAACAGAGUAGCUUUCAAACCACCCUCUGUUUCUGCUCUCCAAAGAGACAAGCAACAGAGCAUGGAGGAAGUGUCUCGGUGAGAGGGCCGUAUCUCUGGGUGACUUGAAGAGCUUUCCUG
rnacentral:lncRNA from 1 species